UACGUAGGGUGCGAGCGUUGUCCGGAAUUAUUGGGCGUAAAGAGCUCGUAGGCGGUGUGUCGCGUCGGCCGUGAAAACCUGCAGCUUAACUGUGGGCUUGCGGUCGAUACGGGCAUCACUGGAGUUCGGCAGGGGAGACUGGAAUUCCUGGUGUAGCGGUGAAAUGCGCAGAUAUCAGGAGGAACACCGGUGGCGAAGGCGGCAUCCUGGACCGACACUGACGCUGAGGAGCGAAAGCCAGGGGAGCAAACGGG
rnacentral:rRNA from 1 species